GCUGGGGUAGCGAAGUGGUCAAACGCAGCGGUCUGUAAAACCGUAGCCUUAAAGCUUCGAAGGUUCGAAUCCUGCCCCCAGCA
rnacentral:tRNA from 1 species